GCAGUCAUGGCCUAAUGGUUAGUGAGUCGGACUUGUAACCUGAAGGUCGUAAGUUCGAGUCUCAGGGCUGGCA